rnacentral:lncRNA from 1 species
AUGAAAAAUAAUGAAAUAACAGAAUUCUUACCUCCUUCAAUGGUGAUGGUCAUGUUCCUGUGGAUCCCGGUUCUGCCCUUGGAGAAAGAUUUUAGGUCAGCUACUUCUUCCUAACGUUGUUUGCUAGCUUGGAAUUGCUUUCCAAAUAUUUUUAAAAUUAAUAAAAUAUUUGAACUCACGAUCAUUCUGCCGUAUAUGGAUCAAAUUUGGGUAGAACGAGGAAUGACAAUUGGAUU